rnacentral:rRNA from 1 species
GACGGAAGGUGCAAGCGUUGCUCGGAAUCACUGGGCGUAAAGGGUGCGUAGGCGGCCGUGCAAGUCUGGCGUGAAAGCCCCGGGCUCAGCCCGGGAAGUGCGCUCGAAACUGCGCGGCUCGAGUGCCGGAGGGGAGAGUGGAAUUCCUGGUGUAGCGGUGAAAUGCGCAGAUAUCAGGAAGAACACCCGUGGCGAAGGCGGCUCUCUGGGACGGUACUGACGCUGAGACGCGAAAGCGUGGGGAGCGAACAGG